AGCAGCCGCGGUAAUUCCAGCUCCAAUAGCGUAUAUUAAAGUUGUUGCAGUUAAAAAGCUCGUAGUUGAAUUUCGGGGUUAGUAGGUUGGUCAUGCCUCCGGUAUGUACUGAUCUCACUGAUUCCUCCUUCCUUAUGAACCGUAAUGCCAUUAAUUUGGUGUUGCGGGGAAUUUGGACUGUUACUUUGAAAAAUUAGAGUGUUUAAAGCAAGCUAACGCUUGAAUACAUUAGCAUGGAAUAAUGAAAUAGGACGUUCGAUCUUAUUUUGUUGGUUUCUAGGAUUGACGUAAUGAUUAAUAGGGAUAGUUGGGGGCAUUAGUAUUCAAUUGUCAGAGGUGAAAUUCUUGGAUUUAUUGAAGACUAACUACUGCGAAAGCAUUUUGCCAAGGAUGUUUUCAUUAAUCAAGAACGAAAGUUAGGGGAUCGAAGACGAUCAGAUACCGUCGUAGUCUUAACCAUAAACUAUGCCGACUAGGGAUCGGAUGAUGUAAUUUUUAAUGACUCAUUCGGC
rnacentral:sRNA from 1 species